rnacentral:rRNA from 1 species
UACGUAGGGGGCGAGCGUUGUCCGGAUUUAUUGGGCGUAAAGAGCGCGUAGGCGGUCUAUUAAGUCAGAUGUGAAAACUCCCGGCUCAACUGGGAGACUGCAUUUGAAACUGGUAGGCUAGAGUCCAGCAGAGGGAAGUGGAAUUCCAAGUGUAGCGGUGAAAUGCGCAGAUAUUUGGAAGAACACCAGUGGCGAAGGCGGCUUCCUGGACUGCGACUGACGCUGAGGCGCGAAAGCUAGGGGAG